rnacentral:rRNA from 1 species
AUUGAACGCUGGCGGCAUGCCUAACACAUGCAAGUCGAACGAGUGGCGGACGGGUGAGUAAUGUAUGGGAAACUGCCUGAUGGAGGGGGAUAACUACUGGAAACGGUAGCUAAUACCGCAUACCAUCAGAUGUGCCCAUAUGGGAUUAGCUUGUUGGUGGGGUAACGGCUCACCAAGGCGACGAUCCCGAGCUGGUAUGAGAGGAUGGCCAGCCAUCCUGGAACUGAGACACGGUCCAGACUCAGACGGGAGGCAGCAGUGGGGAAUAUUGCGCAAUGGGCGCAAGCCUGAUGCAGCCAUGCCGCGGGUAUGAAGAAGGCCUUCGGGGUGUAAAGUACUUUCAGCGGGGAGGCGUUACCAGCAGAAGAAGCACCGGCUAACUCCGUGCCAGCAGCCGCGGUAAUAC